GGAAGGAUCUGGGCUAUCCGUAAAACAGCAGGAAACAUUCUUCUCACUGUCACCCCACUUUAUCCAAACCAUAAAGGGGGUGCCCAGGCAGAGUCUUCAGACCGAUGCUCUCAAGGCACCUCUGCCUCCAGCAGUGAGUAUCCAGUUGCAGACCUGAAGGCCAGAGGCACCCUAGGAUAUGGUGACAGAGUGGAUGUGCAUCCUCAUGUGGAAGAAAGUUCUUGUUCUAUACAGCUCCCAAGUCCUCCAACCCUACCCCACGGAAACCUGUUCCUUCAGGAAACCCACACACAGUAGGCCAGCAACAGGAGUCUCCAUGACUACUCCAACCUAACCCACCUCAUUUCCUCACAUGAAAACGAAAGGCAGGGCUGAGAGCCCUGAUCUGCGGAGGCUUGUGUUCAGGCUCGUCCGGAUGGAAUAUUAACCACACCCACUAGCACAAUAUACCAGCUUUAAAGUGUUUUCCGAAAGAAUUCACGUAAAAGAAAAAAAUGACAGUGUACAUCUCCUCCUCGGUGCGUCUGUAAUGUUCCAGAACCUACAGAGAACAAUGAGACAAGAGGCCACCUCAUAGACAAGCUUGGCCGGCUCUCAACACUGUGACCCACAACCUUAGCGGGAAGUGUGGCCUGGCAUGAACUUAGCCACGAGUGGCUCUGAGCUUCCAGAAGUUGUUAAGGUCUGUUAUUAAACUAGGUGUGGACAGCC